AACAAGGUCGUUGUAGUAUAGUGGUAAGUAUUC
rnacentral:sRNA from 1 species